GGAGUUCAGACGUGUGCUCUUCCGAUCUCGAGUGAUAUACCUUCGGGUGUUGAACUAGUGGCGAACGGGUGAGUAACACGUAGGUAAUCUGCCCUUCAGUUUGGGAUAGCCCCUGGAAACAGGGAUUAAUACCGAAUACUCUUUUUAUUACAUAAGUAGUGAUAAGGAAAGAUGCAAAUCACUGAAGGAUGAGCCUGCGUCCCAUUAGCUAGUUGGUAGGGUAACGGCCUACCAAGGCGACGAUGGAUAGCCGGCCUGAGAGGGUGUACGGCCACAUUGGGACUGAGACACGGCCCAGACUCCUACGGGAGGCAGCAGCUAAGAAUCUUCCGCAAUGGGCGAAAGCCUGACGGAGCGACGCCGCGUGGAUGAAGAAGGCGGAAACGUUGUAAAAUCCUUUUCUUGAGGAGGAAUAACCCUGCCAGGGAAUGGGCGGGGGAUGACGUUAAUCAAGGAAUAAGCCCCGGCUAAUUACGUGCCAGCAGCCGCGGUAACACGUAAGGGGCAAGCGUUGUUCGGAAUUAUUGGGCGUAAAGGGCGUGUAGGCGGUUUUGAAAGCCUGGUGUUAAAAACCACAGCUUAACUGUGGAAGAGCGCUGGAAACUGUGAGACUUGAGUUUAGGAGGGGGAGCUGGAAUUCCAGGUGUAGGGGUGAAAUCUGUAGAUAUCUGGAAGAACACCGGUGGCGAAGGCGAACUUCUAGCCAAUGACUGACGCUGAGGCGCGAAAGUGCGGGGAGCAAACAGGAUUAGAUACCCUGGUAGUCCGCACAGUAAACGAUGCACACUAGGUGUUGGGUCGAGCGACUCGGUGCCGAAGCUAACGUGAUAAGUGUGCCGCCUGGGGAGUAUGCCCGCAAGGGUGAAACUCAAAGGAAUUGACGGGGGCCCGCACAAGCGGUGGAGC
rnacentral:rRNA from 1 species